GCUGGGCAUGGUGGUGCAUGCCUGUAAUCCCAGCUGCUCAGGAGGCUGAGGUGGAAGGAUUGCUUGGGCCUAGGAGUUCAAGGCUGCAGUGAGCAGUGAUCAAACCACUACACUCCAGCCUGGGCAACAGAGCAAGACUCUGUUCCUU
ensembl:misc_RNA Metazoa_SRP Metazoan signal recognition particle RNA